GAGUUUGAUCCUGGCUCAGAUUGAACGCUGGCGGCAUGCCUUACACAUGCAAGUCGAACGGCAGCACGGGAGCUUGCUCCUGGUGGCGAGUGGCGAACGGGUGAGUAAUGCAUCGGAACGUAUCCUGGAGUGGGGGAUAACGUAGCGAAAGUUACGCUAAUACCGCAUAUUCUGUGAGCAGGAAAGCGGGGGACCUUCGGGCCUCGCGCUCUUGGAGCGGCCGAUGUCGGAUUAGCUAGUUGGUGAGGUAAAGGCUCACCAAGGCGACGAUCCGUGGCAGGUCUGAGAGGAUGAUCUGCCACACUGGAACUGAGACACGGUCCAGACUCCUACGGGAGGCAGCAGUGGGAAUUUUGGACAAUGGGGGCAACCCUGAUCCAGCCAUGCCGCGUGAGUG
rnacentral:rRNA from 1 species